UCCGGUUUGGCACCGGCAGUCUCACUAGAGUGCCCGGCAUGACCCGCUGGUAACUAGUGACAAGGGUUGCGCUCGUUGCGGGACUUAACCCAACAUCUCACGACACGAGCUGACGACAGCCAUGCAGCACCUGUGAACGGGCUCCGAAGAGCCCCGGCGGUUUCCCCCCGGGUUCCCGUCCAUGUCAAGCCUAGGUAAGGUUCUUCGCGUUGCGUCGAAUUAAACCACAUGCUCCACCGCUUGUGCGGGCCCCCGUCAAUUCCUUUGAGUUUCAGCCUUGCGGCCGUACUCCCCAGGCGGGGCACUUAAUGCGUUAGCGCCGGCACCCAGGGGGUCGCUCCCCCAGGCACCUAGUGCCCAUCGUUUACGGCGUGGACUAC
rnacentral:misc_RNA from 1 species